UACGUAGGGGGCAAGCGUUAUCCGGAUUUACUGGGUGUAAAGGGAGCGUAGGUGGUUUGUUAAGUUGGAUGUGAAAUCCCCGAGCUUAACUUGGGAAUUGCAUUCGAUACUGGUUGGCUAGAGUAUGGGAGAGGAUGGUAGAAUUCCAGGUGUAGCGGUGAAAUGCGUAGAGAUUUGGAGGAAUACCAGUGGCGAAGGCGACCACCUGGACUGAUACUGACACUGAGGUGCGAAAGCGUGGGGAGCAAACAGG
rnacentral:rRNA from 1 species